AUCACCUCAGGAGCCCGACAGGUGAAGUAAUUAACGUCACGGAGUGGUGAUUUAUUAAUACUCAUGAGUCUGGAUGGGAACUGUGAAGAAGUUGGGAAGUUAUGUCGGCUGCAGUUUGGCCCUUAAAACAACAACAACAACAACAACAACAACUCCAAUCCAAAAGGAGGAACCAGAGAGUUAGCAGUUAGAAGGGAGCUAGACAGCUAGGUAACAACGGCUAGGUAGCAACGGCUAGGUAGCAACAGCUAGGUAGCCAUGUUGGAAUCCGGAUAUCAACCACUUUGCUUCUGUGAAAGAAACGAGAGCGACCUUCAUCUUCAAAACAUGGCUGAGCACUUGUUGGAUGAAACGUUUCUGAGAUCUGAGGGUUGCAAGACCACAGGAGGCUAAGUGUCUGAGUCAGCUGUGAAGUUGACAGUGUUGCAGGGUCUGCAGAAUGCUUGGCUCUCUGGCUAACAAGGUGUAGAGUGGACCUCCAAGGAAAUAGAGCUACCCCCGAGGAAUGACCGACCUCCGAGUCGGAAGUUGCAACUGGAGUCUGAAUUUUGACUCGGAAGGUCGGAGAACCUCAUUAACCCUGACUACUAAAUCCAAGAUGGCUGCUUUGUGUAUCAAUAAGCAACUGGAAUGCAGUCCACUCUGGUAAUUCUGGUGUGACGUCAUGCCGAGCUCCAAAGUUUCUGGUAAAACAGCAUGUGUUCCUCUCACUCAUGGUCCAAACAUCUGUUUUGUUCCUGUGUUUAUACCCCAGAGUUUUGCUUUUCAAGCAGCUUGGAGUAACUGUUUAUAUCCUGUUUUGUUCUCAUCCAUGUUCCUGAGUUUGAUCCAGUUUGCCUGCCAAUAAGCUUUGGUCCAGUCAUGAAAACAUCUGGUCACAUUCACUACUGCAUCUUCAACUUGCAUUGUUUUGCCUGAACAGUUUGGUUAAUGCAAUUAAAGCCUUUAAUAGAUAGCCUUAGAUAGCAACAGUGAAACAACAGUCUCAGUUAAAUUCCCGCCUAAUGAAAUUGCUGCUGAGCAGCCCCUGCCUCUAGAGGUGUAGUGCAGGAAAAACCUCAUUAACUUUUUUUCUUGGGGUGGAAUUUCCUCUAUUAUUAUUAUUUUUUUCUCUGAGAAAAACCCACCCUUAUCUGCUUUACUGAUUAGACGUUCAAUGAGGACAUUUUUUAGUACAUGUGUAACCCGCACAAAGCCCGGCAGAGAUGUCCCCAAGAGAGAUGCAAAUGUUUUCCUCCGCAUAAGUGGCCAAAGAAUGAGAGAAAGAGACGGCGACUAUAAAUGGUGGUGGCAUUUCAUGUUAGAUCGACGAUGGCCCUAAAUACACAGUGAGAUCAUAGUCUCUGUAGGCCAUGUUCAUGUGUGUGUGUUGUUUUUUUCCCAUCUAUGGGUCAAUAACUCCAUGACAUAAGUGAUUUAUGCUCGGUAUCAUCUGAAAAUGUUGGCUUCAGCAUGGUCCAAGUAUUGAUUGCGAGGUAUUGACUGAAGACCAAGGUGUCGGGUUCAUUUGGGAAAACGCAAAGGGUGCUGUAUGACUGCGUUGUUUUGUUUUUUUGCUCAUUAAAUUAAAUCCCCAGUCCUCGCCACUUCUGAUUCUGUUGUUCCUGACUGCAGCUACAAGUGAUGUGACUGUAUGUGCUAUUUAUCGGAAAAGUUCAUUUUCUGCUGGCAGUGGUGCACAAUUGAGUACGGUCUGAAUAAAACCCCACUUUGUUGCUCUGACUGGCCUUACAGGUAUAUGGGCUGGUUUUCAAAAAAAAUUGCUUUGUCUAAGAAUAAAAGCAUCAUUUUUGUAUGACUUGACAGCCCACCUCAAAGUCUUUUCAUUCACUUUACUUCUCUUACAUUUCAUUUAUGCAUUUAGCUUUUGUAAUGUCACUUUACCCACGCUUGUUUUUUUUAUUGCUGGCUUGCCUCUUUUGUGGAAAAAAGGACUUUGAGAUGUUUUUAAAGCAUGUCUCUAAUAAAUUAUCUCACCUGUACUAAAAUGUGUUUUAGCUCUUCUUUCUGGGUUUUACCUUUUAUGUGUGAAUAGAUAAACUUCUAAACUACAAAGUGGUAUUUUUGUCUGAGCUUUUAUCCAAAUAUUAUUCCGGUGACUAAAUGCCAAGGUACGCACGGCUUUUGAAAAAGUACUUUCCUGGACAAACUGAAAUUGCUAAAAAUUCAGUCCACAUGGCAAAAACCCGCAUUGUGUAAUUGACUGAAUGUUGCUCUUAUCCAAAUACUGCUGCUCAUAUAGCCGUCUAGCCUCGAGGAGCGACGUUUAACUGACAGCUACAACUGCUGUGGAGAAAAAUCCAGUUUUUAUUUAUUCUCAUUUCAUUUAAUGUCAAAAGCUGCCACAAUUCCAUCAACUGUUUUUCUUUCUUCUUUUUGUUGUUGUUGAACAGUAAGUUCAUCUUUUUUCUCAGCAGAUAAUUGUCAUGAGUUAAUAAAUAAUAAACUCUAU